UGCAAGUUAGCACUGCGCCUCCACCCUGCCAACAAGAGAGAACCGGGAGGAAGGCGCUGAGGAAAUCAUCGAGGAGAAAACCCCGCGGUGACGACAGCAGCCCGGAGAGAGACAGACCAUCGAGCAAGAGCAGGAACACAGAAAUCAUCCAGACAUCAAAAAAGACUACGAUCCGUGUGGCCGAAAUAAAACCCGG